AUUGAACGCUGGCGGCAGGCCUAACACGUGCAAGUCGAGCGGAUGAAGGGAGCUUGCUCCUGGAUUCAGCGGCGGACGGGUGAGUAAUGCCUAGGAAUCUGCCUGGUAGUGGGGGAUAACGUCCGGAAACGGGCGCUAAUACCGCAUACGUCCUGAGGGAGAAAGUGGGGGAUCUUCGGACCUCACGCUAUCAGAUGAGCCUAGGUCGGAUUAGCUAGUUGGUGGGGUAAAGGCCUACCAAGGCGACGAUCCGUAACUGGUCUGAGAGGAUGAUCAGUCACACUGGAACUGAGACACGGUCCAGACUCCUGCGGGAGGCAGCAGUGGGGAAUAUUGGGCAAUGGGCGAAAGCCUGAUCCAGCCAUGCCGCGUGUGUGAAGAAGGUCUUCGGAUUGUAAAGCACUUUAAGUUGGGAGGAAGGGCAGUAAGUUAAUACCUUGCUGUUUUGACGUUACCAACAGAAUAAGCACCGGCUAACUUCGUGC
rnacentral:rRNA from 1 species